rnacentral:lncRNA from 1 species
UAUAGGUGAUCGGAUCCUCAUUAUUCUCAUCAAGUUUGAUGGGAUCACCGUCCUGGACCAAGAAACCGUAGUAUCUGUCCGGCUGACGUGGUACUCUAUCGGAUCGCCUUAAUGGUGCAGGUACAUUGGGCUUCGGAUCUAUUCUAAUCAUAUCCGACUCAGGUUCAGCUAUUGGUGUCGGUCCUUCUACCUGUUGAACUUCAUCAAGUUCAACCUCAGAGGCAACGGUUCCUUCACCAAAGAACUCUUUUUCUAAAAAGAUUGCCUUAAGGCUGACGAACACCUUUUGUUCAUCAGCAUGGUAGAAAAAAUAUUCUUUUGUCUCUUUGGGGUACCCUAUGAAUGAGCAUUUGUCAGACCUAGGUCCAAGUUUGUCUGUGACUAAUCGUUUGACAUAGGCCGGACACCCCCCGACCCUAAGGUGUGAAAGUGCUG